UACGAAGGGUGCAAGCGUUACUCGGAAUUACUGGGCGUAAAGCGUGCGUAGGUGGUGCGUUAAGUCUGUCGUGAAAGCCCCGGGCUCAACCUGGGAAUGGCGAUGGAUACUGGCGCGCUAGAGUGCGGUAGAGGAGAGUGGAAUUCCCGGUGUAGCAGUGAAAUGCGUAGAGAUCGGGAGGAACACCAGUUGCGAAGGCGGCUCUCUGGGCCGUAACUGACGCUGAGGAGCGAAAGCAUGGGGAGCGAACAGG
rnacentral:rRNA from 1 species